CAAGUCGUAACAAGGUUUCCGUAGGUGAACCUGCGGAAGGAUCAGUCUUGGAUAAAGUCUGAUGCCGGCACUGCGGCCGAUCGGCCGCGCGCCGGGUGAGCCUUCGGGCUUCACAUCCCUUUGUGUGACCUCGGUCACGUUAAUUGGMGCGAGAGGUCAUCCUCCGCCCCGCAGAUUGGAUGAUCGAGUCGGGUCCUUGCUGCGUAUGCCCUCACCGAACAAGUAUAAAUACACGGGGCAGGCCAUUGGCCAGACAUGUACCACAACUAUCGAGAUCACACAGUUUUAUACAACUGGUAGCGUUGGAUCCCUCGGCAUGGCUAUCGAUGAAGAGCGCGGCCAGCUGCGAAAUGUGAUGUGAAUUGCAACUCAAAGCGGUUAUCGUGAAUCAUUGACUACUUGAACGCAUUGCACCGCCCUUUUGGGAGUGGUACGCCCGAUUGAGUGUCAUAAUCUCCUUCAGGUCUGUUGGUUUCAAUCGUUCGUUCGAUGACCGUCCACACGCUGCAAGCCGCCUCUCUYGAGGUGGUGGAGGUGUGUUGACGGGAAACCUUUUGGACUCUGGUUUCGAGGUUGCACGGAGACUUUCCGCGCACCUUCAGAUGCAUUAGCGGUUGYUCCUUGUCAGACAAGUUUGACUCCAYGUGAUGAGAUCAUGUUCGUGGAGGAGUGCCUGGCACGCUUGCUGAUCUUGGCGCCGCUGCGAAACCGCCUUCGGGCAAAAUGCCACCUUUGUGUGGAAGCUCCAUGACAUUGGCCUCAGUUGGGUGGGAUGACCCGCUUGAUUUAAGCAUAUUAUUCAGCGGAGGAAAAGAAACUAACAAGGAUUCCCCCAGUAACGGCGAGUGAAGAGGGAAGAGCUCAUGUGU
rnacentral:rRNA from 1 species